GACCUCAAAUCGGGUGAGACUACCCGCUGAACUUAAGCAUAUCAAUAAGCGGAGGAAAAGAAACUAACAAGGAUUCCCCUAGUAACUGCGAGUGAAGCGGGAAAAGCUCAAAUUUAAAAUCUGGCGGUCUUUGGCCGUCCGAGUUGUAAUUUAGAGAAGCGUCUUCCGCGUCGGACCGUGCACAAGUCUCCUGGAAUGGAGCGUCAUAGAGGGUGAGAAUCCCGUCUUUGGCACGGAUGCCCGAUGCUUCUGUGAUGCGCUCUCGAAGAGUCGAGUUGUUUGGGAAUGCAGCUCAAAAUGGGUGGUGAACUCCAUCUAAAGCUAAAUAUUGGCGAGAGACCGAUAGCGAACAAGUACCGUGAGGGAAAGAUGAAAAGCACUUUGGAAAGAGAGUGAAACAGUACGUGAAAUUGUUGAAAGGGAAACGC
rnacentral:rRNA from 1 species